CACGUAGGGGGCGAGCGUUGUCCGGAUUUAUUGGGCGUAAAGAGCUCGUAGGCGGCUCGGUAAGUCGGGUGUGAAGACUCUAGGCUCAACCUAGAGACGCCACCCGAUACUGCUGUGGCUAGAGUCCGGUAGGGGAGCAUGGAAUUCCUGGUGUAGCGGUGAAAUGCGCAGAUAUCAGGAGGAACACCAGUGGCGGAAGGCGGUGCUCUGGGCCGGUACUGACGCUGGAGGAGCGAAAGCGUGGGGAGCAAACAGG
rnacentral:rRNA from 1 species